rnacentral:rRNA from 1 species
GACGAACGCUGGCGGCGUGCUUAACACAUGCAAGUCGAGCGGAAAGGCCUGCUUUCCCUUGUGGAUUGCGGGUACUCGAGUGGCGAACGGGUGAGUAACACGUGAGUGAUCUGCCCCCAACUUGGGUAUAAGCCUGGGAAACUGGGUCUAAUUCCCGAUAGGACUGCAGGGUGGUUCCGGUGUUGGGAAACGAUUUUCUAGUGGUUGGGGAUGAGCCCGAGGCCUAUCAGCUUGGUGGUGGGGUAAUGGACUACCAAGGCGGCGACGGGUAGCGGGACUGAGAUGGUGGACGGUCACACUGGGACUGGGACACGGCCCAGACUGCUAGGGGAGGCAGCAGUGGGGAAUAUUGGACAAUGGGCGGAAGCCUGCUGCAGCGAGGCUGUGUGGGGGAUGACGGGAUUCGGGUUGUCAACUCGUUGCGACCGAGAGGAAGACACCUGGUUGGAAGGGUGGUGACGGUAGUGGUAGAAGAAGCACCGGCUAACUACGUG